GAGAUAGCUGGUUCUCCCCGAAAUAGCUUUAGGGCUAGCCUCAGGGAAAAGAUUGCAGGCGGUAGAGCACUGAUCAGGAGAGGGACCUACCCGGUUACCAAACCCAGUCAAACUCCGAAUGGCUGCAAUCAUACCUGGGAGUCAGACUGCGACUAAUAAGGGCCGUAGUCAAAAGGGAAACAGCCCAGACCAUCAGCUAAGGUCCCCAAUGCCGUGCUAAGUGGCGAAGGAUGUGGCAUUUCAUAAACAACCAGGAUGUUGGCUCAGAAGCAGCCACCAUUUAAAGAGUGCGUAAUAGCUCACUGGUCGAGAGACGCUGCGCCGAAAAUGUCCGGGGCUCAAGCACGGAACCGAAGCUAUGGCAUGAUAGCAAUAUCAUGGGUAGGGGAGCGUUCUUAUAAGGAAGAAGCAUGACCGGAAGGACAUGUGGACGAAUAAGAAGUGAGAAUGCCGGUAUGAGUAUCGAAAAGAAAGGUGAGAAUCCUUUCCACCGAAAGCCCGAGGGUUCCUGAGCAACGAUCGUCGACUCAGGGUAAGUCGGGACCUAAGCCGAGGCGGAAAGCGUAGGCGAUGGACAACAGGUUGAAAUUCCUGUACCGGAUCAAGUCGAUUGAGCGAAGGAGCGACGCAGGAGGGCACAUGAUCGCGCGGCUGGAAGAGCGCGUCCAAGUGCGUAUGUUGCCGCAGAGGAAAACCCCUGCGGCUAAAAGCAGAGACAUGAUGGGGAGUUAAAGGAAACUUUGACGAACUCAUGAAUCCCACACUGCCAAGAAAAACUUCUAGCGAGACAAGAUCCGCCCGUACCGUAAACCGACACAGGUAGGCGGGGAGAGAAUCCUAAGGUGCGCGGGAAAACCCUCGUUAAGGAACUCGGCAAAUUGCAUCCGUAACCUAGGGAGAAGGAUGGCCCCCGGUCAGUGAAGAGCAGAAACGCUCAGAGCUAAAAGGGGCGGCAGAAAAGAGGCCCAAGCAACUGUUUACCAAAAACACAGGUGCCUGCGAAAGCGAAAGCUGAAGUAUAGGUGCUGACGCCUGCCCGGUGCCGGAAGGUUAAGGAGAGAAGUUAGCGAAAGCGAAGCAUCGAACUGAAGCCCCGGUGAACGGCGGCCGUAACUAUAACGGUCCUAAGGUAGCGAAAUUCCUUGUCGGGUAAGUUCCGACCCGCAUGAAAGGCGUAAUGAUUUGGGCACUGUCUCAACGAGGGGCCCGGUGAAAUUGAAAUACCUGUGAAGAUGCAGGUUACCCGCGACUGGACAGAAAGACCCCAUGGAGCUUCACUGCAGCUUGAGAUUGAAUCCCGGUGACAGAUGCACAGGAUAGGUGGGAGGCGCCGAAGCAUUGCCUUAGGGCGGUGCGGAGCCGAUGUUGGGAUACCACCCUUCUGUUGCUGAGAUUCUAACGCGAGGAGUAACGACCCUGCGGACCCUCUCAGGCAGGCGGUUUGACUGGGGCGGUCGCCUCCGAAAGAGUAACGGAGGCGCCCAAAGGUUCCCUCAGGCCGGACAGAAACCGGCCGAAGAGUGCAAAGGCAGAAGGGAGCUUGACUGCGAGACCAACAAGUCGAGCAGAGACGAAAGUCGGGC
rnacentral:rRNA from 1 species